rnacentral:rRNA from 1 species
AUGGCAGCCCUCGCCUCCCUUCUCCGCCGCCGCAGCGGCCGCCGCGCCGACGUCCUCCUCCGCACGCUCUGCGCCACCGCCACUGCGCCCCCCCUCACGUCCUCGGCCGCCAAGACUCGCCUCCGCCGCGAGUACGACGCCGACCGCGCCGUCUCCCUCCUCGAGGCCAUCGACACCGCCUCCCUCUCCGCCGGCUCUACUCGCCAUGCGCUCUCCCUUGCCGCACGCCGCCUCACCCGCGCCGGACGGCAUGCUGAUGCCGAGGCGCUCCUCUCGUCCCACAUCCCAGCUUCCCCAACCGAGCCGCAUCUCUCGGCCAUCCUCUGCUCAUACGCCUCCGCCGGCCUCCCCGAGAAGGCCCUCGAAGCCUUCCGCUCCGCCGCGCCGUCCCUCCCGUCCCCCAUCUCGCCGAUGCCCUUCAACGCCCUCCUAUCGGCCUUCGUCCGGUGCCGCCGCCACCGCCGCGUCCCGGUCCUCUUCGAGGAGCUCUCCAAGGAGUUCUCCAUCACCCCCAACGCCAUCUCCUACGCCAUACUGGUGAAGGCUCACUGUAUGGUCCGCCAUGACGCCAAGGCACACGAAGUGAUAGCUCGGAUGCGUGAGGAAGGUAUCUCGCCGACCACCACCAUCUACACCACAAUGAUUGAUUCCAUGUAUAAGCAGAAGAAGGUAGAGGAGGCCCAGACUUUGUGGAAGCAGAUGCUGGAGAGCGGGUGCAAGCCGGACCAUGCAACAUAUAAUGUGAAGGCCAUGCACCACGGACUCAAUGGCAAGCCCGAAGGUGUUCUCCAGGUGAUGGCGGAAAUGGAGGCCGCUGGAGUAAAGCCAGACACCAUCACCUACAAUUUCCUCAUGACUGCCUAUUGCAAAGAUGGAAAGAUGGAGGAUGCCAAGGCGCUGUACCGUUCGCUAGGUGACAAAGGGUGCUCAGCGAAUGCAGCCACAUAUAAGCACAUGCUUGCAGCGCUGUUUGCUCAUGGCGAUUUUGAUACUGCCUUGGAGAUCUUCAGGGAAAGCAUGAGCAAGCACAAGGUGCCAGACUUCAAGACAAUGAAAGGAUUUGUUGAAGGAUUGGCGAAGGGAGGCAGGGUGGCUGAGGCGAAGGAGGUUAUUUACAUGGUGAUGAAGAAGUUCCCUGAUACUAUGCUGUCCGGAUGGAAGAAGCUGGAAAAGGAGCUUGGGUUCUGCUCAGAUAACGGAGAUACAACCCCUCAUGCAGAAUGUACAGCUGAAGAACCAGUCUCUGAGGCUGAGCCUGCUACCACCGAGGCACUUGAACUCAAAGAUUCUGCUGCUGAGGAAACAGGCGUGUCUGAAGAAUCUGAUGAUGAUGAAACGCCCUCACCUGAGACAUCCACUGAUGAGGAAGUGCCGAGGGGUCCUGCUUAA